UACGUAGGGUGCGAGCGUUAAUCGGAAUUGCUGGGCGUAAAGCGUGCGCAGGCGGUCUGUUAAGACAGAUGUGAAAUCCCCGGGCUUAACCUGGGAACUGCAUUUGUGACUGGCAGGCUAGAGUAUGGCAGAGGGGGGUAGAAUUCCACGUGUAGCAGUGAAAUGCGUAGAGAUGUGGAGGAAUACCGAUGGCGAAGGCAGCCCCCUGGGCCAAUACUGACGCUCAUGCACGAAAGCGUGGGGAGCAAACAGG
rnacentral:rRNA from 1 species